rnacentral:misc_RNA from 1 species
GAUGAAGAACGUAGCGAAAUGCGAUAAGUAGUGUGAAUUGCAGAAUUCAGUGAAUCAUCGAAUCUUUGAACGCACAUUGCGCCCCUUGGUAUUCCGGGGGGCAUGCCUGUUCGAGCGUCAUUUCACCACUCAAGCCUCGCUUGGUAUUGGGCAACGCGGUCCGCCGCGUGCCUCAAAUCGUCCGGCUGGGUCUUCUGUCCCCUAAGCGUUGUGGAAACUAUUCGCUAAAGGGUGUUCGGGAGGCUACGCCGUAAAACAACCCCAUUUCUAAGGUUGACCUCGGAUCAGGUAGGGAUACCCGCUGAACUUAAGCAUAUCAAUAAGCGGAGGA